rnacentral:rRNA from 1 species
AACGAACGCUGGCGGCAGGCCUAACACAUGCAAGUCGAGCGCCCCGCAAGGGGAGCGGCGGACGGGUGAGUAACGCGUGGGAACGUGCCCUUUGCUACGGAAUAGCCCCGGGAAACUGGGAGUAAUACCGUAUAAGCCCUACGGGGGAAAGAUUUAUCGGCAAAGGAUCGGCCCGCGUUGGAUUAGGUAGUUGGUGGGGUAAUGGCCUACCAAGCCGACGAUCCAUAGUUGGUUUGAGAGGAUGAUCAGCCACACUGGGACUGAGACACGGCCCAGACUCCUACGGGAGGCAGCAGUGGUGAAUCUUAGACAAUGGGCGCAAGCCUGAUCUAGCCAUGCCGCGUGAGCGAUGAAGGCCUUAGGGUCGUAAAGCUCUUUCGUGGGGGAAGAUAAUGACUGUACCCCAAGAAGAAGCCCCGGCUAACUCCGUGCCAGCAGCCGCCGCGG